UAACAGAGCUGGACAUCCUUCCUCGCUGUGAUUUAGAACUUCUUCAAUGAAACAUAAUCUACAGUGACCGACAGGAAAUUGGGUCAACUGGAGAGGCAGCACCCUAACCCUGGAGAGGCAGCACCCUAACCUUAAU
rnacentral:lncRNA from 1 species